rnacentral:rRNA from 1 species
AAUGCACUGGCGGCAGCGUUUACCAUGGCAGUCCGACGGCAGCACAGAGAGAGCUUGCUUCUUGGGUGGCGAGUGGCGAACGGGUGAGUAACAUAUCGGAACCGUACCGAGUAGUGGGGGAUAGACUAAUCGAAAGAUUAGCUAAUACCGCAUACGUCUUGAGAGAGAAAGCAGGGGAUCUUAGGACCUUGCGCUAUUCGAGCGGCCGAAAUCUGAUUAGCUAGUUGGUGGGGUAAAGGCCUACCAAGGCGACGAUCAGUAGCGGGUCUGAAGGGAUGAUCCGCCACACUGGGACUGAGACACGGCCCAGACUCCUACGGGAGGCAGCAGUGGGGAAUUUUGGACAAUGGGCGCAAGCCUGAUCCAGCCAUGCCGCGUGUCUGAAGAAGGCCUUCGGGUUGUAAAGGACUUUUGUCAGGGAAGAAAAGGUUGGUGCUAAUAUCGCUGACUGAUGACGGUACCUGAAGAAUAAGCACCGGCUAACUACGUGCCAGCAGCCGCGGUAAU